rnacentral:misc_RNA from 1 species
GGUUUUCUUCAUGUCGAUAUUGGGAAUGGGAAGAUUAAGUUUUUUCUUGAAGUCGCCUAUCUACGUAAUUAGAGUCGUAGUUGAAAGACUCGAGAUGGAAAUGGAUAAUUCAAAGAUUGAAGUGGAGAAUUUGAAGAUUGAAAUGAAGAACUUGAAGAUUGUUGUGGAAAAUUUGAAGAUAAAAGUAGCUCAUUUGUCUGAAAAAAUUGCUACAUUGCAGGCAUCGAAUUUGGUAGUGAAAAAAGU